GCUGGGCCCAUUUAAAAUAUAAUAAGGAACAUAGUAGCCCGGCUGGUGCGCCUCAGUGGUUGAGCAUCAACCUAUGAACCAGGAAGUCACUGGUUCGAUUCCCAAUCAGGGCACGUGCCCAGGUUGU